AGGCCUGCAAGAAGAGCCGGGUCGGCCUUCUGACCCGCCGACCCGCCCCUCAUUUUGGUACCAUUUAACCCGGAAUUUUGGCCCACCGAGUUGAUGGGUCGAGUCCAGAAUACCCAUCUGAACCCUGAGGUCCCAUAGGUUCGACCCUCGUGCUCUCUCCUGUCUCUCGUUCGCCGCCGGCAACGCUGCCCCCUCGUCUGCCGUCGCGUGCAUCGCCUCCACACGAGCGUCCCUCUUCCACCUCCAUUCCCCUCGUGCUCGUCUCCGACUAGUCGACCGCUGCCGCAGGCCGUCGAGGGCGGUGCAAGCCGGGCAGCCUCCUGCAGCGGCGCGUGACCCCGGCGGCCACGUCUCCGCAACAGCGUGUGACACUGACACCUCAGCCUCCUGGUAGUGCAACGAGAUCCCGCGGUCCCGCCGCCGGCGCCAGGCCUCCCAUGACGGAGAGACUAGAUGUGAAGAUUUUCUUAGAUUGUGCAAAGAAACAAGAAGCUAGGACUUGUGUAAUGUGAUGUUGAAUGCAGCUUGUAAUACAGAGAAACAUGGCUGUUAAAUUUCUGAAUGAUGAAUGUUGCAAUCUAAAUGCAGAGAAACAUAUGUAGACAGUUGAUUUCCUGGUUUAUGCUUGGGCCCUGUAAUAGGAGAGUAAUCUGCGGGUAGUCAGGUUGGAGGCCUGGUCUAUGUUAAUUUCUGUCCUUACUUUUGCUUGAGGAAAACCUGGGCCUUGUUUAUGUUUCGAACAUUUGUAGACAGUUGAUUUCAUUAAGCAAGCUCCUUGUUCUAAAAAAAAUGCAGAGGAUAUGAAUGCCUGCUGUAUCGUCCUACAAAUCUCAGCUUGUAAUAUGAAUGUUGAAUAUUGUUUACCUACCUCUUAUUUUUCUA